UAUACUUCGAGAUAACCAAGUUUUUUUCUCUAACUGCAGAACAAUCAACAUGGUAUUAAUUUUCAAUCUAUGAAAUUUCUAUUUCAGUACAAUUUAUCAUUUCCUGUUUUUACAUCUCUACAACUACAAGUAUUUCUCUGAACAUUCUAUAUAUAUUCAGAAAAAUCACAAGCACACACCUAUUCACUAAUCAAACUCCCUUUCCGUAAAAUUUGACAACCACAACAGCGAAACUUUGAUUUCAAAUCUUGAUUUUUUUCCUUCCAUAGUAGGAUUUCUUUCACACUUCAAAUCUUUGACGAAUACUCAAAUUCACAAAUUCGAUUUUUACUCCUCAACCACGAUAUUUCAAUCCAGUAUAUAUAUGUAUAUCUAAUCUUCUUCAUCGCAAAUACCCAACAAAAUCCAACAGGAAAAAGUCUUUUAUAAUUCAUCCUGUUUCCUUCCCACUGCCGAAUCUCCAUAGGUGCGGCGCGACUAGGAUAUGAAUUUUAAUUGUAUUACUCAAGUUAGCAUUCAAGUUGAAGUUCAAGUUCAAGUUAAAUUUCCAGAACAAUCAACAUGGUAUUAAUUUUCAAUCUAUGAAAUUUCUAUUUCAGUACAAUUUAUCAUUUCCUGUUUUUACAUCUCUACAACUACAAGUAUUUCUCUGAACAUUCUAUAUAUAUUCAGAAAAAUCACAAGCACACACCUAUUCACUAAUCAAACUCCCUUUCCGUAAAAUUUGACAACCACAGCAGCGAAACUUUGAUUUCAAAUCUUGAUUUUUUUCCUUCCAUAGUAGGAUUUCUUUCACACUUCAAAUCUUUGACGAAUACUCAAAUUCACAAAUUCGAUUUUUACUCCUCAACCACGAUAUUUCAAUCCAGUAUAUAUAUGUAUAUCUAAUCUUCUUCAUCGCAAAUACCCAACAAAAUCCAACAGGAAAAAGUCUUUUAUAAUUCAUCCUGUUUCCUUCCCACUGCCGAAUCUCCAUAGGUGCGGCGCGACUAGGACGUGAACUUUAAAUUCUUGCAGUUAAUUUUCAAAACUCAAAAGUUCAAGUUUCAGUUUCAGGUGAUUGAUAUCGGAGGCGCGUGGAGAGUCGAAUGGGCGCGUCGAAUCUAUUUAAAAUAAAUGUUUCUUAAAACAUAUUAUGUUAUUUCAUGUUAUAUCUUUUGGUUAUGUAAACUCUGAAAUUCUAUAAUAUUUGAGAUUUGUGUGUGAUUUAUUUAAAUAAAUGUUGUUAUAUUAUUUUAAUGUCAUGACUUGUUUAAUUUAUAUUUAAAUUCAUUUCAAAUAUUUAUUUAAGAAUUUAUAUCUUUACGAAAAUAUAUACAUGGAUACAUACAUAAUUUUAAUUAUAUAAAGAUUUUAUUUUGUUAUAUUUUCCGCUGCUAAAAAGAUAUUAUUUUAUAUUUAGAGUUUUUCCUUAGUAUAAGUUUUAUUAAUUAGUUAAUUAUUUUUCUGACAUCUUCAUGUCGUGCUUUGAAAAUAAAGUUGUUAAAUUUAUGAUUUAAAAAUCAAGAUUUAUAUUUGAAUACAUUAUUGAAAUUUUUGAUAUCUUAUAAAUCGUUUUAAAAGUGCUUUAAAAACCAAUUUUAUUUAAAGAUUUCUUUUUCUUAAAAUUAUUUUCGAAAAUAUUUAUUUUAAAAGUGAGUUUUAAAUUAUUUUAAAAGACUUUCGCAUUAAAUAUUUAUUUAAAUUUUAUAUUUAACUCCUUAAUUAGAUUAGGGUGUUACAGCAUGGUAUCAGAGCAGGUCUACUUUCCUGUAGACUCUGCAAAAUAUUUUACGUAUAAAAAAAAAUUACUUAAAAUUUUUAAAAGUCAUGUGUGAGAAAUCCAUUCGACCUCUACGUGCUCUGACUUCAAGGUAAAUGUAUUUCAAAGUAUUUUUUUUAUGGGGAUGAGUAUAAAUUGUUUACGUUGAAAGUAUUAUGAAAUUAGCUGCAAUAAUUGAAGUUGUUAUGAGAAAAUUCAAGUUCAGUAUUCAAGUUAUUAUGUUGAAGAUUAUUGCAGCUAUGAGUAAAGAUAUUUCAAAUAUUUUUCAAGAGGAUGAGUAUAAAUUAUUUACGUUGAAAGUAUAGUGAAUUUGCUGCAAUGAUUGAAGUUAUUAUGAGAAAAUGUUCAAGUUCAGUAUUCAAGUUAUUAUGUUGAAGAUUAUUGCAACUAUGAAUUGUCAAAUUUC